rnacentral:rRNA from 1 species
AGUGAACGCUGGCGGUAGGCCUAACACAUGCAAGUCGAACGGCAGCACAGUAAGAGCUUGCUCUUACGGGUGGCGAGUGGCGGACGGGUGAGGAAUACAUCGGAAUCUACUUUUUCGUGGGGGAUAACGUAGGGAAACUUACGCUAAUACCGCAUACGACCUACGGGUGAAAGCAGGGGAUCUUCGGACCUUGCGCGAUUGAAUGAGCCGAUGUCGGAUUAGCUAGUUGGCGGGGUAAAGGCCCACCAAGGCGACGAUCCGUAGCUGGUCUGAGAGGAUGAUCAGCCACACUGAAACUGAGACACGGUCCAGACUCCUACGGGAGGCAGCAGUGGGGAAUAUUGGACAAUGGGCGCAAGCCUGAUCCAGCCAUACCGCGUGGUGAAGAAGGCCUUCGGGUUGUAAAGCCCUUUUGUUGGGAAAGAAAAGCAGCAGGUUAAUACCCCGCUGUUCUGACGGUACCCAAAGAAUAAGCACCGGCUAACUUCGUG